UGACCAAGCUUGGAACAUGACCCGUUGAAAUUAAAAAUAUUACUAAGCGAGGGAAAAGAAACUAACCAGGAUUCCCUCAGUAACGGUGAGUGAAGAGGGAAGAGCCCAGUGCCGAAUCCCCACCCAGGCGAUGGGCGUAGGGAAAUGUGGUGUAUGGAAGGCCAUCUCCCCAGUGCUGCCCAGGGGGCAUCAGGAUCAGGUCUUCCCGGAGUUGAGUUGUUUGUGAAUGCAGCCCAAAGUGGGUGGUAAACUUGAUCUAAAGCUAAACACCAGCACAAGACUGAUAGCGGACAAAUACCAUAAGGGAAAGUUGAAAAGAACUUUGAAGAGAGAGUUCAAGAGGGCGUAAAACUGUUCAGAGGUAAAUGGGUGGGGUCCGUGAGGUCUGCCUGGAGGAUUCAAACUGGCAGCCGUGCUGGCUGCCUGUGUGACAUGGAUCCCCCUCUCCCUCUGGGGGGGUGGGGACUGUCCCCGGGAGCACGGCCGCAGUCAGGUGCACUUCCUCCAUGGUGGUGCACCAUGACCGGCUCCAGUUGGCCAGGAAGGCCAUGUGGAAGGUGACUCCCCUCCCCUGAGUGGAGUGUUAAAGCCUGCGGCAUCAACUCUCACCAUUCCCCGGGAUCAUGGGAGAUGACUGCUGCCACACCUGCCCCCGUGGUGGGGGCCCCCAGCUCCCGGCAGGACUGUUGACUGGCCCGGACUGCCCUCAGUGUGGCCCAACCACAUCUUGCCGCUGGGUUGGUGGGAUCACCUUGGGUGGCCGGGGUCUGCGGUGAUGUUGGUGACCCUCCUGUCCCAUCUUGAAACAUGGACCAAGGAGUCUAACAGGUGCAUGAGUCUGAGGGUGGGCAGGCUGAGGUGGAUUCCCCCCACUCAAUGCAGGGGGUGCCCCGGCAGCCUGUCUCACCCAUCCUGUCAGGGAGGUGGAGCAUGAGCACACCUGGUGGGACCAUGAUAGAUGGUGAACUAUGCCUGCGCAGGGCGAAGCUAGAGGAAACUCUGGUGGAGGUCCAUGGCGGUCCUGAUGUGCAAAUAGGUCAUCUGACCUGGGUACAGGGGCGAAGACUAAUCGAACAAUCUAGCAGCUGGUUCCCUCUGAAGUUUCCCUUAGGAUAGCUGGCGCUCGGCAGGUGCAGUUUUAUCUGGUAAAGUGAAUGAUUAGAGGUCUUGGGGCCAAAACGAUUUCAACCUAUUCUCAAACUUUAAAUGGGUAAGAAGCCUGACUCGCUGGCUUGGAGCCAGGUGUGGAAUGCGAGUGCCCAGUAGGCCACUUUUGGUAAGCAGAACUGGUGCUGCAGGAUGAACUGAACGCUGGGUUAAGGCACCCUAUGCCGACACUCAUCUGACCACAGAAGAGGUGUUGGCAGAUAUAGACAGCAGGACAGUGGUCAUGGAAGUCAGAAUCUGCUAAGGAGUGUGUAACAACUCACCUGCCGAAUCAACUAAGCCUGAAAAUGGAUGCCGCUGGAGCGUCAGGCCCAUACCCAGCCAUUGUUGGCGCUGGGAGUCGAGGGGGCUAUGCCGCGAUGAGUAGGAGGGUCAACACGGUGGCACUGAAGCCCAGGGCAAGGGCCUGGGUGGAGCCGCCAUGGGUGCAGAUCUUGGUGGUAGUAACAAAUAUUCAAAUGAGAUCUUUGAAGGCCGAAGUGGAGAAGGGUUCCAUGUGAACAGUGGCUGAACAUGGGUCAGUCAGUCCUGAGAGAUAGGCGAGUGCUAUUCCAAAGGGAUGGGCGAUGGCCUCCGUCACCCUCAGCCGAUCGAAAGGAAGUCGGGUUCAUAUCCCCAAAUCCAGAGUGUCAGAGAUGGGUGCUUGUGGCAUCCAGUGCGGUAACGCAAAUGAUCCUGGAGAAGCUGGUGGGGGCCCCUGGGAGAGUUCUCUUUUCUUUGUAAAGGGCAGGGCACCCUGUAAUGGGCUCACCCGAGACAGUGGCCAAUGCCCUGGAAAGCGUCCCGGUUCUGGCAGCGUCAGGUGAGCUCUCGCUGGCCCUUGAAAAUCCGGGGGACAGGGUGUAAGUCUUGUGCCAGGCCAUACCCAUAUCUGCAGCAGGUCUCCAAGAUGAACUGCCUCUGGCACGUUAGAACAAUGUAGGUAUGGGAAGUCGACAAGCCAGAUCCAUAACUUCGGGAUAAGGAUUGGCUCUAUGGGCUGUGUCGGUUGGGUUCGGGCAUGAAGCAGGGCUGGGCACACACUGUGGCUGGCCGAGGAGUUGCCCUCUUGCCAUGCUCCCCCCUCCUGAGGGGCCGGGGAGGUUGGCGGCAGUGACUCUGGAUGCACGCCGGGCCCUUCCUGUGGAUUGCCCCGGCUGUGGCAGGCACCAGUCCCCAGCUAGCAGCUGACUUAGAACUGGUGUGGACAGGGGGAAUCCAACUUUUUAAUUAAAACAAAGCAUCUUGAAGGCCCGAGAUGAGUGUUGACGUGAUGUGAUUUCUGCCCAGUGCCCUGAAUGUCAAAGUGAAGAAAUUCAAUGAAGCUCGGGUAAAUGGCGGGAGUAACUAUGAC